CCUUACGGGACCCACCAGUGAGAAUUUUUCGCAAUGGGCCACCCCUGACGAACAAUCCGCGUGGAUGAAGAAGCCUUUCGGGUUGUAAAGUCCUUUCGUGGGGACGAAAAGCCGGAUCCGAAUACGUUCUGCUAUUGACGUGAACCCAAGAAGAAGCACCGCUAACUCCGUGCCAGCACCCGCGGUAAUACGGAGGGUGCAAGCGUUAAUCGAAUUACUGGGCGUAGAGCGCACGCAGCCGUUCUGUCAAGUCGGAUGUGAAAUCCCCGGGCUCAACCUGGAACUGCAUUCGAAACUGGCAGGCUAGAGUCUUGUAGAGGGGGGUAGGAUUCCAGGUGUAGCGGUGAAAUGCGUAGAGAUCUGGAGGAAUACCGGUGGCGAAGGCGGCCCCCUGGACAAAGACUGACGCUCAGGUGCGAAAGCGUGGGGAGCAAACAGGAUUAGAUACCCUGGUAGUCCACGCCGUAAACGAUGUCGACCUGGAGGUUGUGCCCUUGAGGCGUGGCUUCCGGAGCUAACGCGUUAAGUCGACCGCCUGGGGAGUACGGCCGCAAGGUUAAAACUCAAAGGAAUUGACGG
rnacentral:rRNA from 1 species